rnacentral:rRNA from 1 species
AACGAACGCUGGCGGCAGGCUUAACACAUGCAAGUCGAGCGCCCCGCAAGGGGAGCGGCAGACGGGUGAGUAACGCGUGGGAACGUACCUUUUGGUUCGGAACAACUCCGGGAAACUGGAGCUAAUACCGGAUAAGCCCUAACGGGGAAAGAUUUAUCGCCGAAAGAUCGGCCCGCGUCUGAUUAGCUAGUUGGUGAGGUAACGGCUCACCAAGGCGACGAUCAGUAGCUGGUCUGAGAGGAUGAUCAGACACACUGGGACUGAGACACGGCCCAGACUCCUACGGGAGGCAGCAGUGGGGAAUAUUGGACAAUGGGCGCAAGCCUGAUCCAGCCAUGCCGCGUGAGUGAUGAAGGCCUUAGGGUUGUAAAGCUCUUUUGUCCGGGAAGAUAAUGACUGUACCGGAAGAAUAAGCCCCGGCUAACUUCGUG